rnacentral:snoRNA from 1 species
UUUUUCCUGUGAUGUUUUGCACUGGCUCUGAAUAUCUGUGGUGAUAAGGUGCUCUCUGGCUCUGACAUGCUUGAGUCUGAGGAGACU